ensembl:lncRNA
GAGAGACGCAGCUCUUCGCGCGCUUCUGUCUUUCUCUCGUUCUGUCACACACGCGCAAAUACUCUGUGUCUGGCUUUCACGCGCUCUUUCUUUCCUCUUGGCUGCAUCGUUUCUGCGCCUUUAUUUCAUUUCUCCUUCAGAUCAACGCUCGCGGAUGGUUUUUGGUUUGGCGUUGCAGGACUCCAGCGUGUUGUGGAAUGAAGUGUUGAUGCUGUUUCCAGGGUUGAGUGUCUCUGUAGAGUCAAAGUGCUUACAGUGCAGGUAGUUCAGUACGGUGUCUACUGCAGUGGAGGCACUUCAAGCUCUACACACUCGGUGCUCCUCUGGUUUAACUGGAAUCUUCACCCAUGAUGCCUGUUAUGGUAAAUUCCUGCGGGCUCCCAUAACCAGGAACAUUUCUAAAAGUGAGUAUAGCGUGUUUUGUUUGCGUUUCACUACUGUCUUAAGAUUAAUCCCUUUGCUAGCUACAUUGGGAGACUGUAUUAGACCAAUCACAGGCAUUGUGUAAAUAUGAAUGUAAAUGGCCAGACUUGGUGUUAUGUACUGUUUCAGGUUUGUGUGAUUUUUCCAGUGAAAUACACAAUGUUGAAUUUGUUGAAUUGACUGUUUGCUAAUAAAAUUCUUGCACUUGA